rnacentral:rRNA from 1 species
AGAGUUUGAUCCUGGCUCAGAACGAACGCUGGCGGCAGGCCUCAAACAUGCAAGUCUAGGGGGUGUAGCAAUACAUCACCGGCGGACGGGUGCGUAACACGUGGGAAUAUACCUUUCGGUACGGAACAACUGCGGGAAACUGCAGCUAAUACCGUAUACGUCCUAGCGGAGAAAGAUUUAUCGCCGAAGGAUUAGCCCGCGUUCGAUUAGCUAGUUGGUGAGGUAAUGGCUCACCAAGGCAACGAUCGAUAGCUGUUCUGAGAGGAAGAUCAGCCACACUGGGACUGAGACACGGCCCAGACUCCUACGGGAGGCAGCAGUUGGGAAUCUUGGACAAUGGGGGAAACCCUGAUCCAGCCAUGCCGCGUGAGUGAUGAAGGCCUUCGGGUUGUAAA